rnacentral:rRNA from 1 species
UUAGAUCUCAAAUCAGUAGGACUACCCGCUGAACUUAAGCAUAUAAUAAGCGGAGGAAAAGAAACUAACAAGGUUCCCCUAAGUAGCGGCGAGCGAAGCGGGAAGAGCUCAAAUUUAUAAUCUGGCACCUUCGGUGUCCGAGUUGUAAUCUCUAGAAGUGUUUUCCGCGUUGGACCGCACACAAGUCUGUUGGAAUACAGCGGCAUAGUGGUGAAACCCCCGUAUAUGGUGCGGACGCCCAGCGCUUUGUGAUACACUUUCAAUGAGUCGAGUUGUUUGGGAAUGCAGCUCAAAUUGGGUGGUAAAUUCCAUCUAAAGCUAAAUAUUGGCGAGAGACCGAUAGCGAACAAGUACCGUGAGGGAAAGAUGAAAAGCACUUUUGGAAAGAGAGUUAACAGUACGUGAAAUUGUUGGAAGGGAAACGCUUGAAGUCAGACUUGCUUGCCGGAGCUUGCUUCGGUUUGCAGGGCCAGCAUCAGUUUUCCGGGGUGGAUAAUAACGGUUUGAAGGUAGCAGUCUCGGGCUGUGUUAUAGCUUUCCGUUGGAUACAUCCUGGGGGACUGAGGAACGCAGCGUGCUUUUUGCGAAAGAUUCGUCUUUUUCACGCUUAGGAUGCUGGUGGAAUGGCUUUAAACGACCCGUCUUGAAACACGGACCAAGGAGUCUAACAUGCUCGCGAGUAUUUGGGUGUCAAACCCGGAUGGCAAUGAAAGUGAAUGUAGGUGGGAACCGCAAGGUGCACCAUCGACCGAUCUGGAUUUUUUAAGAUGGAUUUGAGUAAGAGCGCGUAUGUUGGGACCCGAAAGAUGGUGAACUAUGCCUGAAUAGGGGAAGCCAGAGGAAACUCUGGUGGAGGCUCGUAGCGGUUCUGACGUGCAAAUCGAUCGUCAAAUUUGGGUAUAGGGGCGAAAGACUAAUCGAACC